CUCUAGUGACCGAUAGUGAACCAGUACCGUGAGGGAAAGGUGAAAAGCACCCCGGAAGGGGAGUGAAAUAGAACCUGAAACCGUGUGCUUACAAGUAGUCAGAGCCCGUUAAUGGGUGAUGGCGUGCCUUUUGUAGAAUGAACCGGCGAGUUACGAUUUGAUGCAAGGUUAAGCAGUAAAUGUGGAGCCGUAGCGAAAGCGAGUCUGAAUAGGGCGUUUAGUAUUUGGUCGUAGACCCGAAACCAGGUGAUCUACCCUUGGUCAGGUUGAAGUUCAGGUAACACUGAAUGGAGGACCGAACCGACUUACGUUGAAAAGUGAGCGGAUGAACUGAGGGUAGCGGAGAAAUUCCAAUCGAACCUGGAGAUAGCUGGUUCUCUCCGAAAUAGCUUUAGGGCUAGCCUCAAGUGAUGAUUAUUGGAGGUAGAGCACUGUUUGGACGAGGGGCCCCUCUCGGGUUACCGAAUUCAGACAAACUCCGAAUGCCAAUUAAUUUAACUUGGGAGUCAGAACAUGGGUGAUAAGGUCCGUGUUCGAAAGGGAAACAGCCCAGACCACCAGCUAAGGUCCCAAAAUAUAUGUUAAGUGGAAAAGGAUGUGGCGUUGCCCAGACAACUAGGAUGUUGGCUUAGAAGCAGCCAUCAUUUAAAGAGUGCGUAAUAGCUCACUAGUCGAGUGACACUGCGCCGAAAAUGUACCGGGGCUAAACAUAUUACCGAAGCUGUGGAUUGUCCUUUGGACAAUGGUAGGAGAGCGUUCUAAGGGCGUUGAAGCAUGAUCGUAAGGACAUGUGGAGCGCUUAGAAGUGAGAAUGCCGGUGUGAGUAGCGAAAGACGGGUGAGAAUCCCGUCCACCGAUUGACUAAGGUUUCCAGAGGAAGGCUCGUCCGCUCUGGGUUAGUCGGGUCCUAAGCUGAGGCCGACAGGCGUAGGCGAUGGAUAACAGGUUGAUAUUCCUGUACCACCUAUAAUCGUUUUAAUCGAUGGGGGGAC
rnacentral:rRNA from 1 species